rnacentral:tRNA from 1 species
GCUGGCGUAGUCUAACGGUUAGGAUAAGCGGCUGUGGACCGCUUGAACCGGGUUCAACUCCCGGCGCCGGCC